AAAGUGCGAUAAGCAAUGCGAAUUGCAGAAUUCCGCGAAUCAUCAGAUCCUUGAACGCAACUGGCGCUAGAAGGCUCUCCUUCUAGCAUGUCUGUUUCAGUGUCUGAAAACAUCACAAAUAUCCUAAUGUGUAUGACAAAAGAGAAAGUUAUAUAACUUUCAUCUCGAGUCUUACAUGAAAGAUGUGUGUGUAGGUCUUUGGACCUCAUCCUCAUCGAAUUGGUCACUGACACUUCAGUGAUUUCGAUAGGAUACAUCCAAUUACCUGAAUACAUACAGACAACUAAUACUUUCUUCAACUAUGCAUCUGAAAUCAGGCAAGAACACCCGCUGAACUUAA
rnacentral:misc_RNA from 1 species